CUUCAACCUGCUUAUUCACUUAACAUGAACAUCUUUUCAUUUCAAAAUUAUUUGUCUACAUCAUUCAUAAUUUACCAAAACAAUUUGAAAGAGUCACAUUUCCUUUUUGUCUCCACUUAGGUUUACAAGGUGACCUAAUGCUGUCUGACUUCAGCCUUCACUGGUAGAUGAAAACUAAAUAAGGUGACCAAUGAUCUCUGCCAGAAAAAGUUUAUUUUUCAUUUCUCAGCAUCUCUGGAGUAUUUGACACCAUUCAUCACUCUCUUCCUUGGUACCCCCAUGCCAUUUGUUGUCAUCAUUUUGUUAGUGGGCUUCUCCUAGUCCACUCCACCUUCUCUUGGCUAGUCUUCUCUAUGAGCUCUAUAAAUCUGCCCUUACCUUAAACAUUAAUUAAUCUUUUCCAGAGUUCUGACCCAAGCCCUCUCUUCUUCAGUUCUGCAUCAUUUUCAGGCUUCAAACUACUGACAUUUUCCUAAUAGACAUCUAAUCUAUAUUCUAGCCCAUAUCUCAAUUUUAUAUUCCAGACUCACACAUCUGGUGGCUUUCUAGACACAUUCACUUUGAAGGUAUAAGGUACCUGAAACUUAACAUGUUCUAACUCUAAACAUGAACUCAAUAGACCUGCCCCUCCCUCACUCCUGACCAAAACAACAACAAUAACCCUACUUCUCUUCCUGUAUUUUUUUUUUUAGUCUUGUCAAGUGGCCAUAUCCAGUUUGCCAAAAAUUUGGAAUUUAAUCUCAGUAGGACUAAAGUUCCACCAGGGCAGAGAUAUUUAUCUUGAUUUGGUGCUGUAUCUCUCUGUUUGCCAGUUGAAUUAUUCUUCUCUCAUCCCCUGCAUCUACUUUGUCACCAAAUCUCAAAUAUGUCUUCCCAUUUCCAUCACUACCUUCUUCAUUUCCAGUCCCAACUCACCAUCUCUUCACGGUUCUAAGGUAGGUCCUCCAACCGAAUUCUAUUCUUUAUACUGCUAAGAGAAUGAUCUUCUAAAUAUGCAAAUCUGAUUGUCACCUUUCAGUUUCUUCCCAAUCUCAAUUUUAACUUCAAACUACUACACUCAGCCUUCAGGACGUGAUUUCCCUGUCAUUAUCUCUACCUCCAAUUCUAUAUUCCAGCUAUAUUCAACUACAGUUCCCCAAACAUUCUGCAGCCAUUUGGUGUAUUUUCUGUGCUCCUACUAAGUAGAAGCAGAAGAAGAAUAAACCAAGACCACAUCAUAGAGUGCUAUGCAGUCAUUAAAAGGAAGUUUAGAGAGCAUUUGUAAUAACUUGGAAAUGUUUAUGUUUUACUUUAUAUCAGGGAAGCAGACUGUCAUAUUAUAUCUAUAUAUCAGUAUGGUCAGAAACAGUAUAAAAUGUAUAAAACAAUACUGAACAAAAAUUAUACCAGAGUUCAUACUGAUCAUCUUUGGUGAGACUUUGGCUAUACCUUGUUUUGUUUUGUUUUUUUGAGACAGGGUCUUGUUCUGUUGUCCAUGCUGGAGUGUAGUGGCACAGUCAUGACUCAUUGCAGCACUGACCUCCUGGGCUCAAGUGAUCCUCCCACCUCAGUCCCCCAGAUAGCUAGGACUACAGGUGUACACCACAGUGCCUGGCUAAUUAAAAAAAAAAAAAAA
rnacentral:lncRNA from 1 species